rnacentral:miRNA from 1 species
ACAUACAACUCGGUCGUAAGACU